GGACAGUUGAGAAGACAGUUGAACGACUCAGGAUGACUGAGAGAUGCCAUUUCUCUAGCAUCAGGACUCAGUUUUGUCAUUUAACAUGUGGAUACCAAGAUACCUGGAGCUGAAUACUUAAAGACAUGAUGUGCCUCAGUUUAUUUCCACUUCCCCUUGUGGCAAAACUACAAAUGUUUGAGGAUGAUAAAAUGCAAGCCGCCCAAAAUGAUCUGCAAGUACACUGUAUACUUAUAGUUCCAAGAGUUUCAACUAGCUCAGGCAGAAUGAAUAAGAAGAAUCUCGCUGUGUGUGACUCUGCUGUCUGCGGCUAAUCCCUCCCUUUGGGCAAUGCAAGAGGCUUUGUUUGAUCAUAUAUUUAGACCACUGAAGUUCUACUGCUCAAUUUGCAUGGCCAAUUGACUCCUUCUCUGAUGAUAAUAUCAGCCUUACUGCCCCAAUGCUGGGAAUAGGCUCCUUCGUUAUGCAAUUUGUCACAAUUGUUGAAGCGGUUGGUGAUUCUGCCAUUUCCAGAUCUUACAAGAAAAUAUAAAUACUUGCUCGGCAGAGUGAAAGUUUACACUUACUGAAAAAUCCUUUAGGAAACAAAGGGCAAGUCAUAAAAACAAAGGGCAAGUUAGGAAACAAAGGGCAAGUUAUAGGGCAAGUUAUAUUCUAGGUAUAAUAAUGACUCCUUGGAAGGGCAUUUUCACAAGUGACAUCAAAAACAUCUUUCAGUCUGAAAUAUAUCAUUUGUGAAUGUAUUUAAAAGGGGUAUGCAUUACUUUUAAACAAAUAAAAAUGAAGCAAGUUUUUCUCAUUCA